rnacentral:sRNA from 1 species
GGGAUUCCCAGCCAUGGCAGAUUCCUCCGGGCAGCAGGGCAAAGGCCGGCGCGUGCAGCCCCAGUGGUCCCCUCCUGCUGGGACCCAGCCAUGCAGACUCCACCUUUACAACAGCCUCACCAGGAACAAGUGUUUCUUGCAUUUCUUGUGAUCGUCAUUCCUUCAUUCCUAACAAAGGAAGUGUUCAUACCUCAAGAUGGGAAAAAGGUGACGUGGUAUUGCUGUGGGCCAACCGUCUAUGACGCAUCUCACAUGGGGCACGCCAGGUCCUACAUCUCUUUUGAUAUCUUGAGAAGAGUGUUGAAGGAUUACUUCAAAUUUGAUGUCUUUUAUUGCAUGAACAUUACGGAUAUUGAUGACAAGAUCAUCAAGAGGGCCCGGCAGAACCACCUGUUCGAGCAGUAUCGGGAGAAGAGGCCUGAAGCAGCACAGCUCUUGGAGGAUGUUCAGGCCGCCCUGAAGCCAUUUUCAGUAAAAUUAAAUGAGACCACGGAUCCGGAUAAAAAGCAGAUGCUCGAACGGAUUCAGCACGCAGUGCAGCUUGCCACAGAACCACUUGAGAAAGCUGUGCAGUGCAGACUCACGGGAGAGGAAGUCAACAGCUGUGUGGAGGUGUUGCUGGAAGAAGCCAAGGAUUUGCUCUCUGACUGGCUGGAUUCUACACUUGGCUGUGAUGUGACUGACAAUUCCAUCUUCUCCAAGCUGCCCAAGUUCUGGGAGGGGGAGUUCCACAGAGACAUGGAGGCUCUGAACGUUCUCCCUCCAGAUGUCUUAACCCGGGUUAGUGAGUAUGUGCCAGAAAUCGUGAACUUUGUCCAGAAGAUUGUGGACAACGGUUACGGGUAAGCACAAGGGCCCUCCCUAGGGAGGGAAGGGCUGCAGAACAUCGCACCCCCAGCUCUGAGUCUGAGUUUGGGAAGCAGAGGAGCAGGUGUUCUGGGGCUGCGUAGCUAGAAGUCCCCAGCAGACUUCCUCCUACAACUCUGGGCCCCACCCAGGGGCUGAGGAGCGUGGGUCUCCACUGUCCUGGCGGCCAUGGUGAGAACCUAACCCAGAAUCUUCUGGGAAGCUCGGCAGCCAAGACCAUCGGUCAUGGGGCCCCAGAGCUGCGUAAUGGUGAGUGUGAAUACUGUUGGGCCUUCACAGACAUCAGUGCCAUUGCAUGGACAUUUCGAGAGUGCUAGUCCUGGUGUCAUAUCCCGAGGGAGGGUGCAUUUCAUCAGCAUCUAUCGCUUGGCUAUGAUUUUAGUGACUUUUUGUUGGCGAAUCCAUCACACACUUCUCUGGCCUGUAUUGUCUCAAUCUCCAAAGUAAGCAUUUUCAGAAAUGGCCAACAAAUGGGAAUGCAGACAGGAACCCGGUUAUCUGUCUGAAGUGUGUAGGGACCAGCCCCACAGGGUCGGUGGGUUUUUCUCCCUUUGUGCGGAGAUGAGAGAUUGUAGAAAUAAAGACACAAGACAAAGAGAUCAAAGAAAAGACAGCUGGGCCUGGGGGACCACUACCACCAAGACGCGGAGACCAGUAGUGGCCCCGAAUGCCAGGCUGCACUGAUAUUUAUUGGAUACAAGACAAAGGGGCAGGGUAAGGAGUGUGAACCACCUCCAAUGAUAGGUAAGGUCACGUGGGUCACGUGUCCACUGGACGGGGGCUCUUCCCUGCCUGGCAGCCGAGGCAGAGAGAGAGAGGAGGCAGAGAGAGAGAGACAGCUUACGCCAUUAUUUCUGCUUAUUAGAGACUUUUAAUACUUUCACUAAUUUGCUACUGCUAGCUAAAAGGCAGAGCCAGGUGUACAGGAUGGAACAUGAAGGCGGACUAGGAGCGUGACCACUGAAGCACAGCAUCACAGGGAGACGGUUAGGCCUCCGGAUAACUGUGGGCGAGCCUGACUCAUGUCAGGCCCUCCACAAGACGGAGGAGUAUAGUCUUCUCUAAACUCCCCCGGGGCAAGGGAGACUCCCUUUCCCGGUCUGCUAAGUAGCGGGUGUUUUUCCUUGACACUUCUACGCUACCGGUAGACCACGGUCCGCUUGGCAAUGGGCGUCUUCCCAGACGCUGGCAUUAAUACUAGACCAAGGAGCCCUCUGGUGGCCCUGUCUGGGCAUAACAGAAGGCUCGCACUCUUCUGGUCACUCCUCACUACGUCCCCUCAGCUCCUAUCUCUGUAUGGCCUGGUUUUUCCUAGAUUAUGAUUAUAGAGCGAGGAUUAUUAUAAUAUUGGAAUAAAGAGUAAUUGCUACAAACUAAUGAUUAAUGAUAUUCAUAUAUAGUCAUAUCUAAGAUCUAUAUCUGGUAUAACUAUUCUUAUUUUAUAUUUUAUUAUACUGGAACAGCUCGUGUCCUCGGUCUCUUGCCUCGGCACCUGGGUGGCUUGCCGCCCACCGUAGUGCUCAGCACUGUACCGUGCCCCUGCUCCCAGAGACACACUGUGUCCAGCCUCGGGUUGCUUCCCUCCCACAGGAACCACACAGGCUGGAUGAAAGAGAAACAAGAGGUUGUGACAGUGGCAGGAACAGGGCAGACUCUUAAGCAGUAACGCUGCUUCUCUCCCCACUUAACACAAACUACUGUGGGGCAGCAUAAGAGCCUGUGCCAAGCUGAGAGGCAUGGGCAAGCCGAAGCUCAGAGAGGACAGGUCAUUCCAGACUGGAGUAACCUGGAGUGCUUCGUGGAGCCCAAGAGCCUCAGCUGGGCUAAGCUGAUGGGUAGACUGUGGACAUUCAGGGAAAGGCGAGGCCACACAAGAAUGAGGAUGGCAGCAGCCCUGAGCAAGGCAGGAUGGGAGCUGUAUGGGUCACGGGACGCCAGGCAGAGGGACAAGCUGCCCGGGGCAGGCAGGCUGCCUCCGCAGCAGGAUGGGCCCUGGUGUCCCACUCGGUCCAAACAGCUGAUACGGUUUCAGUGGCCACCACGGAGAGUAGACAGGCCACAGAUUUCGCAGUCUUAUAGCCCUGCUUUAUUUUGUCACUGUCAUCCUGCCGAAACACUUGCAGGUCUGUUAGAUUCACCCCACCCAAUUCCUUUUUUGUUUUCCAGCUAUGUCUCCAACGGGUCUGUCUACUUUGAUACAGCGAAGUUUGCUUCUAGCGAGAAGCACUCCUAUGGGAAGCUGGUGCCUGAGGCCGUUGGAGAUCAGAAUGCCCUUCAAGAAGGGGAAGGUGACCUGAGCAUCUCUGCAGACCGCCUGAGUGAGAAGCGCUCUCCCAAUGACUUUGCCUUAUGGAAGGCCUCUAAGCCCGGAGAACCGUCCUGGCCGUGCCCUUGGGGAAAGGGUCGUCCGGGCUGGCAUAUCGAGUGCUCAGCCAUGGCAGGCACCCUCCUAGGGGCUUCGAUGGACAUUCACGGAGGUGGGUUCGACCUCCGGUUCCCCCACCACGACAAUGAGCUGGCGCAGUCGGAGGCCUACUUUGAAAACGACUGCUGGGUCAGGUACUUCCUGCACACAGGCCACCUGACCAUUGCAGGCUGCAAAAUGUCAAAGUCACUAAAAAACUUCAUCACCAUUAAAGAUGCCUUGAAAAAGCACUCAGGUAUACACUGGCUUCUCCCACAGACCCCACCCACCUUCUAAUAGAUAUGUAAUGGCUGUAGCACUCGGGAGAAUAAGGGCGUUGCUGUCUUGUGUCCCCACAUAGCACGGCAGUUGCGUCUGGCCUUCCUCAUGCACUCGUGGAAGGACACCCUGGACUACUCCAGCAACACCAUGGAGUCGGCGCUUCAAUACGAGAAGUUCUUGAAUGUGAGUCCCCAGCCCCUUCCUGGAGGUUGGUGGAGCAGCCUCCCCUGCACAGUGGGCACCUUGUGCGGUGGUGAUAGGUGCAGCAGCCUCCCGAUGUCUCUAAUGGAGACCAGCACAUGGGUGAAAGCACCUCAAUGCUAGUGGGUCUAACAGGCUCGGGGCCACUCCUGAAAUGGCCGAUGGCUUCGCAGAGUGGACGGAGGCCUCGUCCUCCUAGUCACUGCAGUGCACGUCCUUCUGACGUACUUUCCACCAAAUGAGCAUCUGUAAACCUAAAGUAAGAACAUGUUUUUGUCAAAGAAAUAUCUUUUCCUUUCUUUCUGACCAGUGCGUAAUGUCAGUGCAUUCUGGUCUUUCAGAUUUUUACCAAAAAUAAAAUCACAGCAGUAGAACAGUUUUAUCAGAUAUUUCAGGAUGGAAAAGUUGCCUAAAUGCUGUUAAACUGAUUUUUCUAACUUCAGGAGUUUUUCUUAAAUGUGAAAGAUAUCCUUCGCGCUCCUGUUGAUAUCACUGGUCAGUUUGAGAAGUGGGGAGAAGAAGAAGCAGAACUGAAUAAGAAGUAAGGUGGUGCCUUUUCUUUGGGGUUUUCGAGCAUGCCCAUGUUCUAUGCCUGGCCUCGCAUCUUGGCCACCAUGUGUCCUGGACUGUCGAGGAAGGGCUGGGGACACUGUCGUACAUUGUGCAGAAUUAAUUCAGGAUAGGCGGCUCUGCUAAUGGGAGCUGCUCUGGUUGUUGAAGUGCAUGGAGAAUUUCUUUUUUGUUUUUUCUUUUUGAGAUGGAGUUUCGCCCUUGUUGCCCAGGCUGUAGUGCAGUGGCGUGAUCUCGGCUCACUACAACCUCCACCUCCUGGGUUCAAGUGAUUCUUCUGCCUCAGCCUCCCGAGUAGUUGGGAUUACAGGCAUGCGCCACCAUACCUGGCUAAUUUCAGAUUUUUAGUAGAGACGGGGUUUCUCCGUGUUUGUCAGGCUGGUCUCGAACUCCUGACCUCAGGUGAUCCGCCCACCUCAGCCUACCAAAGGCGCGAGCCACUACGCCUGGCCGCAUGGGGAAUUUCUAUGGUGUGUUACCACGUCUGACUUCACGUUCCUUCCUCUUUGUUGCUCAGCUUUUAUGACAAGAAGACAGCAAUUCACAAAGCCCUCUGUGACAACGUUGACACCCGCACAGUCAUGGAAGAGAUGCGGGCCUUGGUCAGUCAGUGCAACCUCUAUAUGGCAGCCCGGAAAGCUGUGAGGAAGAGGCCCAACCAGGCUCUGCUGGAGAACAUCGCCCUGUACCUCACCCAUAUGCUGAAGAUCUUUGGGGCCGUAGAAGAGGACAGCUCCCUGGGAUUCCCGGUUGGAGGGCCUGGAAGCAGCCUCAGUCUCGAGGCCACAGUCAUGCCCUACCUUCAGGUGUUAUCAGAAUUCCGAGAAGGAGUGCGGAAGAUUGCCCGAGAGCAAAAAGUCCCUGAGAUUCUGCAGCUCAGCGAUGCCCUGCGGGACGACAUCCUGCCCGAGCUUGGGGUGCGGUUUGAAGACCAUGAAGGACUGCCCACGGUGGUGAAACUGGUAGACAGAAACACCUUAUUAAAAGAGAGAGAAGAAAAGAGACGAGUUGAAGAGGAGAAGAGGAAGAAGAAAGAGGAGGCGGCCCGGAGGAAACAGGAACAAGAAGCAGCAAAGCUGGCCAAGAUGAAGAUUCCCCCCAGUGAGAUGUUCCUGUCAGAAACCGACAAAUACUCCAAGUUUGAUGAAAAUGGUCUGCCCACACACGACACAGAGGGCAAAGAGCUCAGCAAAGGGCAAGCCAAGAAGCUGAAGAAGCUCUUCGAGGCUCAGGAGAAGCUCUACAAGGAAUAUUUGCAGAUGGCCCACAAUGGAAGCUUCCAGUGAGGGGCACAGGACUGACUUUUUAAACCAUUGUGGACUAGUGGCUGCUGUCUGCCUCAGUGACAACGCCCCAGUGCUCCAAUCAUGUUUACAGUCGCCCUUGGGUCCUAAAUUAAGAGUUGUGUUCAUGUAGGUUCAUGUCGUCGUUGGCUCUGAGACAUUGAUAAUAAAUUUUUCUGAACAGUG